GGGUUGUAAAGCACUUUCAAUGGGGAGGAAAGGUUGUAAGCUAAUACCUUGCAACUGUUGACGUUACCCAUACAAGAAGCACCGGCUAACUCCGUGCCAGCAGCCGCGGUAAUACGGAGGGUGCGAGCGUUAAUCGGAAUUACUGGGCGUAAAGCGCACGCAGGCGGUUUGWUAAGCUAGAUGUGAAAGCCCCGGGCUCAACCUGGGAUGGKCAUUUMGAACUGGCAGACUAGAGUSUUGKAGAGGGGAGUGGAAUUCCCKGUGUAGCGGUGAAAUGCGUAGAUAUCUGGAGGAACAUCAGUGGCGAAGGCGACUCCCUGGCCMAASACUGACGCUCAUGUGCGAAAGUGUGGGUAGCGAACAGGAUUAGAUACCCUGGUAGUCCACACCGUAAACGCUGUCUACUAACUGUUUGUGGYUUURARCCSUGAGURGCGMAGCUAACGCGCUAAGUAGACCGCCUGGGGAGUACGGCCGCAAGGUUAAAACUCAAACGAAUUGACGGGGGCCCGCACAAGCGGUGGAGCAUGUGGUUUAAUUCGAUGCAACGCGAAGAACCUUACCURCACUUGACAUGCAGAGAACUUUCCAGAGAUGGAUUGGUGCCUUCGGGAACUCUGACACAGGUGCUGCAUGGCUGUCGUCAGCUCGUGUCGUGAGAUGUUGGGUUAAGUCCCGCAACGAGCGCAACCCUUGUCCUUAGUUGC
rnacentral:rRNA from 1 species